GACGAACGCUGGCGGCGUGCUUAACACAUGCAAGUCGAACGGAAAGGCCCUGCUUUUGUGGGGUGCUCGAGUGGCGAACGGGUGAGUAACACGUGAGUAACCUGCCCUUGACUUUGGGAUAACUUCAGGAAACUGGGGCUAAUACCGGAUAGGAGCUCCUGCUGCAUGGUGGGGGUUGGAAAGUUUCGGCGGUUGGGGAUGGACUCGCGGCCUAUCAGCUUGUUGGUGGGGUAGUGGCUUACCAAGGCUUUGACGGGUAGCAGGCCUGAGAGGGUGACCGGCCACAUUGGGACUGAGAUACGGCCCAGACUCCUACGGGAGGCAGCAGUGGGGAAUAUUGCACAAUGGGCGGAAGCCUGAUGCAGCAACGCCGCGUGCGGGAUGACGGCCUUCGGGUUGUAAACCGCUUUCGCCUGUGACGAGGCGUGAGUGACGGUAAUGGGUAAAGAAGCACCGGCUAACUACGUG
rnacentral:rRNA from 1 species